CUUAACCCACUGAGCAGCAAGUCUUGCUGCCGUAUACACCAACUGUUCCAGUAUGUUCUUUUUCUGCAAUACAUUGCAAAGCAGCUGUUUCUGGAAAGUCGGCUCGGGUCCUGCUAGCUCCACCUUGAGAACACUGGGAGUAUGGGCUUACAGCAGAAGAGGAAAGUGGUGAGGUCACCAGCCGAGGAGUGGAUGGGGAGAAGAGAGAACGGAAACUCAUUGAGAAAUACAUUGUGUCAGCUGGGAAACCGGACAGGGUCAUUGGCCACCAGGCCACGAGGACAAAGGGAGCAGAAUCGAUGAACAGGAUUUCAGAUGGCCGGAAAAGAAAAAAGGCAGGAAGUAACACAACAAGCUCAGAAGAAAGUCUCGCCAACAGAUAGAAUGAAAUGGAAGAGAAAAUAUCAAGUCUUGAAGACAAAGUAGAAAAAUGGAUCGAUCAUCCAAAGACUAUGUGAACUAUAAAUUAAAAAUCUAGGCAUUCAGGGAAUCUGGGACAGUAUGAAGAGACCAAAUCUAUGAAUAAUUGAUAUAGAGGAAGGAGAAGAAACUCAAGUGAAAGCCACAGAAAAUAUCUUUUAACAAAAAUCAUAGAAUAAAAAAUUUCAAAUCUA
ensembl:lincRNA 0610043K17Rik RIKEN cDNA 0610043K17 gene